UGGGGAAUAUUGCACAAUGGGCGCACGCCUGAUGCAGCCAUGCCGCGUGUAUGAAGAAGGCCUUCGGGUUGUAAAGUACUUUCAGCGAGGAGGAAGGCGGUAAGGUUAAUAACCUUAUCGAUUGACGUUACUCGCAGAAGAAGCACCGGCUAACUCCGUGCCAGCAGCCGCGGGAAUACGGAGGGUGCAAGCGUUAAUCGGAAUUACUGGGCGUAAAGCGCACGCAGGCGGUCUGUCAAGUCGGAUGUGAAAUCCCCGGGCUCAACCUGGGAACUGCAUUCGAAACUGGCAGGCUAGAGUCUUGUAGAGGGGGGUAGAAUUCCAGGUGUAGCGGUGAAAUGCGUAGAGAUCUGGAGGAAUACCGGUGGCGAAGGCGGCCCCCUGGACAAAGACUGACGCUCAGGUGCGAAAGCGUGGGGAGCAAACA
rnacentral:rRNA from 1 species